AACGAACGCUGGCGGCAGGCUUAACACAUGCAAGUCGAGCGAGACCUUCGGGUCUAGCGGCGGACGGGUGAGUAACGCGUGGGAACGUGCCCUUCUCUACGGAAUAGCCCCGGGAAACUGGGAGUAAUACCGUAUACGCCCUUUGGGGGAAAGAUUUAUCGGAGAAGGAUCGGCCCGCGUUGGAUUAGGUAGUUGGUGGGGUAAUGGUCCACCAAGCCGACGAUCCAUAGCUGGUUUGAGAGGAUGAUCAGCCACACUGGGACUGAGACACGGCCCAGACUCCCACGGGAGGCAGCAGUGGGGAAUCUUAGACAAUGGGGGCAACCCUGAUCUAGCCAUGCCGCGUGAGUGAUGAAGGCCUUAGGGUUGUAAAGCUCUUUCAGCUGGGAAGAUAAUGACGGUACCAGCAGAAGAAGCCCCGGCUAACUCCGUG
rnacentral:rRNA from 1 species